rnacentral:rRNA from 1 species
GACGAACGCUGGCGGCGUGCUUAACACAUGCAAGUCGAACGGGGAAGCGCCUUCCUGUUUGGUGGGUGUGGGUGAGUGGCGGAAGGGUGAGUAACACGUGAGUAACAUGCCCCCUUAUUCUGGAUAACCGCGUGAAAGGUUGGCUAACACGGGAUAUACUGGGUCUGUCGCAUGAUGGGUUGGGUUAAGUUGUUGGUACGGUGGGGGAUUGGCGCGUGGCCUAUCAGUGGGUUGGUGGGGUGAGAGCCUACCAAGGCUGGGACGGGUAGCCGGCCUGGGCGGGUGGAAGGUCACACUGGGGCGGAGACACAGCCAAGACUGCAACGGGAGGCAGCCGUGAGGACUACUGCACGAAGCGGGCGAGAAUGAUGCAGCGACGCCGCGUGAGGGAUGGAGGCCUGCGGGUUGUGAACCUAUUGCGCUAGUGAAGCAGGCCUGCCUCGUUUGUGAGUGGGUUGACGGUAGCUGGAUAAGAAGCGCCGGCUAACUACGUG